rnacentral:rRNA from 1 species
AAUAUUGGACAAUGGGCGCAAGCCUGAUCCAGCAAUGCCGCGUGUGGGAAGAAGGACUUCGGGUUGUAAAGCACUUUUUUCAGGAACGAAAUACCACGGGGUAAUACACAAGGGGGCUGACGGUACCUGAGUAAUAAGCGCCGGCUCACUUCGUGCCAGCAGCCGCGGUCAUACGAAGGGUGCAAGCGUUAAUCGGAAUUACUGGGCGUAAAGGGUGCGUAGGCGGUAAGUUAAGUCUGUUGUGAAAUCACCGGGCUCAACCUGGGAAUGGCAAUGGAUACUGGCUAGCUAGAGUGUGUCAGAGGAUGGUGGAAUUCCCGGUGUAGCGGUGAAAUGCGUAGAGAUCGGGAGGAACAUCAGUGGCGAAGGCGGCCAUCUGGGACAACACUGACGCUGAAGCACGAAAGCGUGGGGAGCAAACAGG